rnacentral:rRNA from 1 species
CCGGGGGCCUUAGCGCGGUGGUCCCACCUGACCCCAUGCCGAACUCAGAAGUGAAACGCCGUAGCGCCGAUGGUAGUGUGGGGUCUCCCCAUGCGAGAGUAGGGAACUGCCAGGC